CGCCGCCGGCAGCGCCGCAGCAGCCGCAGAGCCGGAGGUCACCCGUCAGCCCGCAGCUGCAGCAGCAGCACCAGGCAGCCGCAGCCGCCUUCCUGCAGCAGAGGAACUCGUACAACCACCACCAGCCUCUUCUGAAACAAUCUCCUUGGAGCAACCAUCAGAGCAGUGGUUGGGGCACUGCAAGCAUGUCCUGGGGAGCAAUGCAUGGCAGAGAUCACCGUAGAAGCGGAAACAUGGGAAUUCCAGGGACUAUGAAUCAGAUAUCUCCGUUGAAGAAACCGUUUUCGGGUAAUGUUAUAGCACCACCGAAAUUCACUCGCUCUACUCCAUCACUGACUCCAAAAUCUUGGAUUGAAGAUAAUGUGUUCAGGACAGACAACAAUAGUAACACACUCUUACCCUUACAGGUAAGAAUGGAUCGAAGUAGGAUGUAUGAUAGCUUGAAUAUGCACUCUCUGGAAAAUUCCCUUAUUGAUAUCAUGAGAGCAGAGCACGAUCCUCUCAAGGGUCGUUUGAGCUAUCCUCAUCCAGGAACCGACAAUCUGUUAAUGUUAAAUG
rnacentral:lncRNA from 1 species